AUUGAACGCUGGCGGCAGGCCUAACACAUGCAAGUCGAACGGUAACAGGAAGCAGCUUGCUGCUUCGCUGACGAGUGGCGGACGGGUGAGUAAUGUCUGGGAAACUGCCUGAUGGAGGGGGAUAACUACUGGAAACGGUAGCUAAUACCGCAUAACGUCGCAAGACCAAAGAGGGGGACCUUCGGGCCUCUUGCCAUCGGAUGUGCCCAGAUGGGAUUAGCUAGUAGGUGGGGUAACGGCUCACCUAGGCGACGAUCCCUAGCUGGUCUGAGAGGAUGACCAGCCACACUGGAACUGAGACACGGUCCAGACUCCUACGGGAGGCAGCAGUGGGGAAUAUUGCACAAUAGGCGCAAGCCUGAUGCAGCCAUGCCGCGUGUAUGAAGAAGGCCUUCGGGUUGUAAAGUACUUUCAGCGGGGAGGAAGGGAGUAAAGUUAAUACCUUGGCUCAUUGACGUUACCCGCAGAAGAAGCACCGGCUAACUCCGUG
rnacentral:rRNA from 1 species